CUCCUCUGUCUGAUACUCCUCUUCACGAACGAAUUUCUACUCAUUAGUGGAAAUAAAAACGAACGCAGUAUAAGUCCCCAAUCAGACUUUGAACUCACAAAAAUGGAUAAUACCCAGAAGACAAUCUAUGCCGCCGGAAUUCCCAUUGCACUCUUAGAGGAACCAAUGCCGGAGAGAAAUCACGUUAAAAGAAUGGUUUUCAGCCCAAGAAUAUCUUAUGAUCAUAAGGGUAAUCCAGUCAAAAGAAAUAAGCCGCGUACUUAAGAAAAUCGGUCUUAGGACUUAUUUUAACAAAGGUUUACUAAGGAUGUGCCACUUAAAAAAGGAUU